UACGGGGGGAGCAAGCGUUGUUCGGAUUUACUGGGCGUAAAGGGCGCGUAGGCGGUCAGCACAAGUCAGUUGUGAAAUCUCCGGGCUUAACUCGGAAAGGUCAACUGAUACUGUGCGACUAGAGUGCGGAAGGGGCAACUGGAAUUCUCGGUGUAGCGGUGAAAUGCGUAGAUAUCGAGAGGAACACCUGCGGCGAAGGCGGGUUGCUGGGCCGAUACUGACGCUGAGGAGCGAAAGCGUGGGGAGCAAACAGG
rnacentral:rRNA from 1 species